AGCUCAGAGAUAAAAGCUAUGGGAGGGUGCACUGAUGUCUGAGUGAUGUUUAACCAUGCCGGUCCAGGUACAGUGCCUGUCUCCGGAAUGAUGCAGGGAUCCCAAAGUGGAGAGAAUUAGACCUAUCGCAUUUGUGAUUAGAGUGGGCAACUACCACCAGGAGAAGGACAUUUCUCAGGCUAGCCCAUUGGUUCCAGGAGAUUAAUGAGAGACGAAUCGGAGUUGUCUCACAUAGCUACCCCAGCCAAGCCAAAUCUAACAAGAGACCUCAGCUGACCUGCAAUUGCGUGAACUCUAACAAGAAAUAGUUGUGUAAAGCCCCUGAUUUUGGGGACGGUUUGCUCUGCAGCGGUAACUAAAUGACUCAGUAGCAAUUCAGCUAAUUGAGAAGGCCUCAGAGGAAGGCUUUUGAUAAUUGGGCUUCCAAAGUUGUGCACACACACUGGAAAAGCAACAAAUGAUCAGGAGAAUUGGGGGCUUACCCAGUGAGCGAAGCUUUGGCAAAAAUGUAAAGCCGUGCAGCACAAUGCAAGAGGAGGCCAAGGACUCCCUGCAAAACCUCAACUUCAAGCCUAAAACAGCCUGAAGGUUGAAAAACUGGACUGCUGGCUCCAGAUGAAGUCCACCCUUUCCCAACUGAUUCUUUCUGAAUAAUGCCCACCUGCACACUCAGAGGAUGGGGUGGGGCCAUGCAAGCUCCCUGCCGGGAACCCAGCCUCUUGAGCUCCUAUGUGGUGGGGCAGGAGCCAGUUCACAGGCUUCCCUCUCACUCUGCUGAGAGUUUUUCUCUUUUCCUUUUUUUUGCCCAAUAAAUUCCAUUU
rnacentral:lncRNA from 1 species